rnacentral:lncRNA from 1 species
GUUAACAAUGUGGACAUGCUUGCCUUAAGUGAUGCUUCUCAUAAUCUAAACCCUGUAAGCCUACUGUAUCAUAUUUAAUAUGCAAACGACUAAGGUUUCUAAAUGAUCAGCAUGAUCAAAACUUGCUGUCACACACAGAGUCUACUCCAUACCUUCUGAUUCAUAACUUUCUAGAAAAUCAUGUGAAAAUAUGAGUCUCAAAUCUGACCCUCAGGAUCUUUUGAGGAGCGUUUAUUUCUUCAUCUCUCAAUCAUCAUCGGAUUGCAUUGCAUUAUAUGUUUGAAUCAUUUAAAUCUCAUCUUACUGAGACACAUUAUUGGAGAUAUAGAGCGAAGACUGAUAUUUAUAUCAUUUUAUGUAAGGGUCUGCUGUUAUAAAGAUCUCAGUGAUUUUGCAAACUAUCAGACUUUUCAUUUCAUCAGACUUUUUGUUCAUGUAAAUAUCAGCAUCGUGAAUCCUGAAAAAUAAAAUGCAUCACAGUGCAAAGUGUUCUGUGAGUGUUGUGCUUUUCUCAGGAAUUUCUACAUAAUGAAUGCUUCAGAUCAGAAAGAAAUAAUCUCACCAGUGUGACCCUCAGUGACGUAAUCAAAUCAUCCUCUGAAUUAAAGCUCAGUGACAGUAGUGUGUCUUCUAAUGCCAUUAAUCCUAAUUACCCUUGGAUUCCUUUGUAUCUCCAGAAGUGGAGCAUGUUAGUUUUCCCUCCCUUCGGAGCCUCACACAAGCUCUUUCUGCGUCAUAUCAAACAGUGUUUCUGUGUGUGUUUGUGCAGCGGUGUUCAGUGUGAAGGAAUGCACCGAUCUGUUGUAAUGUCAGUGUUUAUACUGUGUCUCGUACACACCCUUCAGUUGUUUGUGCUUCUCUUUUCUGUCUCUUCAGCUGCAGGAGGAGAUCACGGCGUGUUUGGGCUUCGUGAGGAGCGUGUAUCGUGUCUUCGGUUUCUCCUUUCACUGUCUCCUCUCCACGCGGCCCGUGCCCUGUCUGGGAGAGCCUGCCCUCUGGGACGCUGCAGAGCAGAUUGACAUCCAGAUCCGAGACGCUCUCGGCCGACAGCACCAGUGUGCCACGAUCCAGCUGGACUUCCAGCUGCCCAUCAGAUUCAACCUGCAGUAUUCUGGGUAAGAUCUCUCCUGCCCUCACGGACAGAUGAGCCUGUCAGAAACCCACAUGAGUAGGAUGCGAUUUAAACUAGGUCUGAAUAAAAUGUGAAAGAAAUUGAAAUUAUAUCCAUUAACCGCUAAGACCAUUAAGAUUUUUGUCAUUAUUUUCAUGAAAAUUAAGCACAUUCCCCGCAUCAUGUGCAUCCUGGCACUUACAUUGAAAGGAUCUAGUUUAUCCUAUUGUUCUCAAAGCUAUCAUUUACUGGAAUAUUACAAUAAUGUGUUUGUUUUUUAAAUCAGCUUACUAUAUUUUCUGAAAAAUAAGUUGCACCUGAAAAAUUCCGUUGUUCAGAGAAAAAACACACACACACAUAAGUAGCAUUGGUGUAGAAGUGCCAUUAUUAUUAUCACAUUCAGUAAAAUUGCAUUAAAAGAAAGCAUUUACAGACACUAUAAACAACAUGUGUUUUAGUUCCUCUCAUUCCAUAACAAAACCUUCAAAUUUCACAGUUAUUAAUAGAGAUACUGUUAUAGUUUUGUUAAUGUCUUGUAAUAGUUUUUAUUUUGUUUUUGUUCAUUUUUCUUUCGGUUUUUGUUUUCUUUUAUUAUUGUUAUUUUUAUUAGUUACUGUUUUUAAUAUGUCUGUAUAGUUUAUUUUAUUUUUAUAUUUUUAAGUUAAACCAAAUAAAUUAUAAAUGUUGCUUUGGUAGCUAGCUAAAAAAUAAAUUUAAAGUUGUUUAUAUUUUAUUUCAUUCAAUGAUCAUUUUAUUUAAAUUAACAAUUUUUAUGGUUUAAAUUAAAUAUAAUCAGGUGUAUGUGGUGCCACACUUGACCUUUAAGGAUUUAAUGGUUUAAUAGUUUCCUGCUGGCACACAUGUGAAGAAUUAGUGUUGUGGGGCCUGUUAGCAGUAGUUCAGAUAAACUAACCUCUCCCCGUGUUUGUCAUGCAGUGGUGGGAGAAAAAGAGUGUGCGAGCGGGACUGUGAGCGUGCGGACGAGAGCAGGGAAGCAGCUCGGCCAGAAAUCACUGCAGGACGUGAUGAGCUCGCUGACUGAACUCAGACAGACACGCAGCAAUCAGGAGGAGUUUUAAACGCUCACGUGAGGAAGAGAUGCGAGUCUGGACACACCGACACAAACCACGGCAGAACCAGAGCCCUGGCCACACUUCAUAUGUGCUCAGAUCCCUGUUGAGUUCUACACAAACACAAACACAUUCAUUUCAACAGUGCACCUCUGAACCGCUGCAUGAGGGGUUUAUUUAUAAUAAAACAAUGAGUUACUUUUAAUAUUCAGACUCUCUGUUUCUCUGUCAGCGUACAUAUUCAUUAAGCUCUGUGUUGUGUGGAUUAUUUACAUCAAUUAGGGAACACUCUAAUAACUUAUUCAUAAAUGCAUAUGAAAUACUUUUUAUGUAGUUUGUUUUAUUUUUAAUAUGACAGGCUUUUUCUCACAAAGUACAAAUAAAUCUUAAAUUAUGUAGCUGCAUUUGUAUUUUAAGAAGUCUUUUGCAAGGGGAUAAUACUUAAUAUGAAAUCAUUAGAAAAACUCAGUUUAAUUUAAAUUCACACAACAAAAAAAGUUUUUUUUUUAAACUAUUAAACAUCAAGCUUGCUAUUGUUGUAAUUAAUGGAGUAAAAUCCAAAAGCAACUUUGGAGCACGUUCCAUCGCCAUCAAUAGAGUUGAACACAGAACUUGCGACCAUUGUUAGCUAACGAUGCUUUUGGAAAAUAGACCUCUGGUUUCAAGAUUGCCAAGGUUACAAUGACAAGGCCUCACUCUCAAUCAAGCUCCAUUAAAAGUGUGUAUUAUUAUUAAUUCAUGUUAAUUCACCUUGUAACCCUUACAAGGUCUCCAAACUGUUAUCCAUAUGUGUUAAUGCAUAAAUAGCACCUGCAUCAUCGGUGUAUGAAAAUAACCAGUGUGCUUCAAUAGAGAGCAGAGUGAGUGCUUGACUAAAAUAGGAGUAAUUCAUAGAAGAGGGGUGUGUUGUUGAUGAAACAGGAUAAAGCAGCACAGGUCAGGGACGGCCGAGACCCGCUGGUGUUUUAGCCUUAUUGGAAGAAAGGCGUCAGAAUGGAGAGGACGUGACUCACAUGGGUGGAGGAGGUCAUGGUGGAAGCACACGUUCACACCCCAACAAACAUAUACCGGAUCAACAAAGGGCACCAAAAACAAAGACAUUUAUCUGAUGCACGUUUGAAAGAGGGUGACAUGCUGGAGUGUGUGCAGAGGUUUAUGGGACUUUGGGACUCUCUCUGCAGACUGAAACUAAGCCAGAAAUAAAAAGAUGUUGAGAUGUGAAGAGGGUGAGAGAGAAUCAUGGCCUGGUUCUGUUUGAAGACUCAUGGGGUACUCUUACUCCAGCAUUUAAACUUCCACUGGACCCGAGAGAAGACGUAGCUCCCAAAAAGUUUCCGAUCAGUUACCCACGACGUUUCAUACUUAAUGUUAAGGGUUUAGUCACAUCACUAACCCUACAGUGAGUUUGAGUAAUAGAUAUGCUUAACUUGCAGUCUUGGAAAGCAAAGUCCCUUUUCUUGCAUACAGUGAUUUCAUUUCUCAUUUCUUCAAAAUAAUUUAUUUCCUCUUGGAGUAUGAGAGCCAAAAAAAGAAUCGAAGUAAUCUUAUAAAACUGCGUCUUGCUAGAGAUGGCAUAUCUUCCUCUGUCAUCCCACACACAAACACUCCCCUGCACAAGGUCAUUCUUCAUUCAGUGAGCAGCAUCGCAGGAGUUCAUCGGGGUAUUUUAGGAGCGUUUACAGCUCUGCGUGCAUGAGGCGGCGCGUUUGAUAGUAUAUGAGUAUGAGCACGGGUUUGCUGAUGGUAUCAGUGCUGCAUAUAGAUGCGUAAAACCCUCCUGUGAAAGAGUGGGGACACUGAUAUGAACAGGGGUAAUGGUAGGCCUUCCUGCGUUGUUCUGGGAAGGUCUGGCUAUCAGUGAGAACAUGUCAAGCAGGAAUGAUUAAGGGACACUCUUAAAAUAACCCACUGUGAGCUCCUGCUGCGCUCCCUCUCCCUGAUAAAAAUACACCCUUACGGUUCACGGCCGCUGAAACAAAAACAGGAGGUAAUUCCCUAAUUUGUCAUUCAUGUUUCAACGUAACCUACAUCACACUAGUACACUAGUUCAGUAUUCCCAUCCUCCGGAAGUAAUCUUAUGAUAAGUGCCAUGUUCAAGGCUACAGUGAUCAUUAAUCUUGGAUCACACCUUGGUUUGGACCCUACAUCCUUUUGGUUAGCAGCCCAGAGCUUUAACCUCUAGACUACACCUCCCUGGAGGUCAAGAUACGUAGGAUGUGUUCUUGGAUCAGCAUCCUUGUUGGUACUUAAAACAACAUUCCAAUCAACCAGUAAAAUUUUAGGGCUUAGGCUAAGGGUCUUAAGCAGGGGUGUCCAAACCUGCUCCUGGAGGCUCAAUGUCCGGCAGAGUUUAGCUUCAAAUUACCCCGACACACCUGCCCGGAAGUCUCGAGUACUCCUGGAGACAUGAAUUAGCUUCUUCUGUUGUGUUUAAUUGUGAUUGGUGCUAAACUUUGCUGGACCCUCCGGGAGUAGGAUUGGACACCCCUGAUUAAGGUCUCAAGGUUAGGUUUAUAUCUUGCUGUCACUCUUCACUUGGGUGGUCCCAGGCACAGAUGAACUGUUUUCAUAUGCAUUUUGUAAACAAAAAUUGCAAGAGCUAACUGAAAGUGCCAGAUCCAGUCUGAUUGCUGUGGAUGCACAGGUGUUUAUCAUUUGUUCUGGAAACAAUCUUAUCCUGGAUGCUACAGUCAGUUCUUCUGAUAUGUUUGAGCAUGUUUUAUUAUCUGAUCUGUUUUAUCCCCCAUGUAGCCAGUGUGGUCCACAGUGUAGCUUAUUUUGACCAAAAUCCACUCAGGAACACUCCGAAAAAAAUCCAGAACAAUAUUGAACUAUAAAAGAAAGUAGGACAGCUUUAUAAAAUUUGAUGACUGAAAAUCAUCAAAAUGGUCUCUUCAGUGUCAGAAAUCAUGCAAAAAUUUUACCUUUAGGGGUACAACAGCUUGGGGUACAACGAGGGCAGUAUCCUUAAAGGUGUGUAACCAUACCUUAAGUAGAAAGGUAUUAAUAAGCACCUUUUAAAGGUAGAUGAUAAAGGUUGUCAAUUUAAGGGUUCUACCUCAGCGACAAGCUGUUUGUGCAAUAUUUGCACUUUAGAUUUGGCAUACAGUUUAGACCCAGUUUAUCUAGUUGGUAGCACUGAAGAUGCCAACCUAGAAGACAAAAGAAGUGUCUAAAGAAGAAAAGUCUAAAUGUGUGUAGACCUCAGAAUUGUAGAAAUCAGAAUUUCUGUCUAGCCAAAAGUAUUAAGAAUUAGACAUACAGCAGAAUUUACAGAUGUGCUUACAGAUGUCUAGUGCUGUAGUGGUCAAUCCUGCUCCUGGAGGGCCACUAUCUUGCAGAGAUAAGCUCCAGUCUUCAUUAAACACACCUGAACCAGCUAAUCAAGGUCUUCAGGACCACUACAGACUUGUAAUGGUCAGUAAUAGGUCUUCCUCAACUCAUGUAUGCAGUACUUUUUUUUUCCUUAACUGGACCCCGGUCGCACCUCCAAUGACAGGGCUGCUAGCACUUUGGUAGUUUGUAGUACAGUAUGCAUCAGAUUGUCAGUGAUUGCUCAGUUCAUGUCAGAUGACCAGUUCUGGUCUAAAUGGGGCAUUCCUUGAUGCAAUAGUCCAGUGGAAUACAAUCCUGCUCCUGAAGAGCUACUAUCCUGCAGAGUUCGGCUCCUAAUUAAGAACAUCUGAAACAGCUAGUUAAGAUCUUGUCGAAAC